rnacentral:lncRNA from 1 species
AUGGGGAAAAAAUCGAAAAAUGAUUUUACUGGCUGGCUGCUCUUAGUAUCUGUGGAAAAAAUGAUGAAUGAAAGGAAGGAGUUGUGUGAUAAAAUCGAAAGGCUCCAGACACAAGUAAACGAUCUAAAAGUUGCUAAGUGUGUCCUUGAGGAGAAUCUUCUCUCUUGUAGCAAUAGAGCUCAAGUUGCAGAAAAUCAAACAGAAACUCUCAUUGUAAGGUUGGCUGAACUACAGCGAAAAUUCAAGUCUCAGCCUCAGAGUGUGUCGACAGUUAAAGUAAGGGCUCUAAUUGGCAAAGAAUGGGAUCCUACAACAUGGGAUGGGGAUGUGUGGGAAGACCAUGUUGAAGCUGAGAAUUUUGAAUCCUCAGAUUCUCAAGGGUUUGCCCCACCUGAGGAAGUAGUACCCUCAGCCCCACCUCUUGAAAUAAUGCCUUCCCCACAUGAGGAAAUUAAUUUUGCAGAGUCUGCUCACGGCCCACCAAUAGUUUCUUCUAGACCUGUAACCAGACUCAAAGCAAAACAGGCUCCUAGAGGGGAGGUAGAAAGUAUAGUCCAUGAGGAAAUUCGCUACACUACUAAGGAGCUUAAUGAGUUUGCUAAUUCAUUCAAGCAGAAACCUGGUGAAUAUGUGUGGGAAUGGAUUUUAAGGGUGUGGGAUAAGGGUGGAAGGAACAUAAAACUAGAGCAGGCUGAGUUUAUUGACAUGGGUCCUCUGAGUAGAGAUUCUAGGUUUAAUACGGAAGCUCGCAUAGUUAAAAAAGGUGUCAAAAGUUUGUUUGAAUGGUUGGCUGAGGUGUUUAUCAAAAGAUGGCCUACUGGAAAUGACUUGGAGAUGCCUGAUAUUCCGUGGCUUAGUGUUGAUGAAGGGAUUUUAAGACUUAGGGAAAUUGCAAUGCUAGAGUGGAUAUAUUGUGUAAAGCAUAAUUGUCCACAAUGGGAAGGUCCAGAAGAUAUGCCUUUCACCAGCUCUAUAAGACGCAAAUUGGUGAGAGGGGCACCAGCACAUUUGAAGGGUUUUGUUCUUUCCCUUUUCCUUGUGCCAGAUCUUAGCAUUGGAGAUGCUUCUGCUCAAUUAGAUGAAUUAAAUUCACUGGGUUUAGUUGGAUCCCGAGGUAACAAGGGCCAGGUGGCAGCAUUGAAUCGCCGGAGACAAGGUGAUCCUAGUUAUUAUAAUGGACAGCGUAGACAAAAGAAUGUUUAUAAUAACAUACCCAGUAAUGGUCAGCACAGGAGAGGUGAAAUUUAUAAUGGCAUGACUCGCUUGGACCUUUGGU